UCGCUACUACCGAUUGAAUGACUUAGUGAGGUUCAUGGACUGAGGUGUACCAGGCAACUGGUCCUCUCUUGGAAAGUGAAUCAAACUUGAUCAUUUAGAGGAAGUAA
rnacentral:rRNA from 1 species